AUUAGAUACCCUGGUAGUCCACGCCGUAAACGAUGUCUACUUGGAGGUUGUGCCCUUGAGGCGUGGCUUCCGGAGCUAACGCGUUAAGUAGACCGCCUGGGGAGUACGGCCGCAAGGUUAAAACUCAAAUGAAUUGACGGGGGCCCGCACAAGCGGUGGAGCAUGUGGUUUAAUUCGAUGCAACGCGAAGAACCUUACCUGGUCUUGACAUCCACAGAACUUUCCAGAGAUGGACUGGUGCCUUCGGGAACUGUGAGACAGGUGCUGCAUGGCUGUCGUCAGCUCGUGUUGUGAAAUGUUGGGUUAAGUCCCGCAACGAGCGCAACCCUUAUCCUUUGUUGCCAGCGAUUAGGUCGGGAACUCAAAGGAGACUGCCAGUGAUAAACUGGAGGAAGGUGGGGAUGACGUCAAGUCAUCAUGGCCCUUACGACCAGGGCUACACACGUGCUACAAUGGCGCAUACAAAGAGAAGCGACCUCGCGAGAGCAAGCGGACCUCAUA
rnacentral:rRNA from 1 species